AGCGAACGUUGGCGGCAGGCUUAACACAUGCAAGUCGAGCGGGCACUUUCGGGUGUCAGCGGCGGACGGGUGAGUAACGCGUGGGAACGUGCCCUCUGGUUCGGAAUAACUCAGGGAAACUUGAGCUAAUACCGGAUACGCCCUUUUGGGGAAAGGCUUGCUGCCGGAGGAUCGGCCCGCGUUUGAUUAGCUAGUUGGUGAGGUAACGGCUUACCAAGGCGACGAUCAGUAGCUGGUCUGAGAGGAUGAUCAGCCACACUGGGACUGAGACACGGUCCAGAAUACUACGGGAGGCAGCAGUGGGGAAUAUUGGACAAUGGGCGCAAGCAUGAUCCAGCCAUGCCGCGUGAGUGAUGAAGGCCUUAGGGUUGUAAAGCUCUUUUAUCCGGCACGAUAAUGACGGUACCGGAGGAAUAAGCCCCGGCUAACUUCGUG
rnacentral:rRNA from 1 species